AUUUGCCCACAGCUGUGGUAGCUUCUGUGUCUGCUUGUUCCCAGGCAUGCUCCUGCCUUGGCCCCAGCCUUCCCUUAUGCCAGCCUAUAUGACAGAUUGAAGAAGAGAAAUUUGCCUGGAGUCUUUGCAUACGUGAUCCCUGUCAAAUAAAACCAGAUGGUGUUCUGCAGAUCUGAAAUGAAAUGAAGACUAUUUUUCAAUCUGUCGUGAAACUACACCAAGGGAGGAGUGCAGCUGAUUUACUGGUUUAUGGACACAAAAUCCACUAAGGAGUGCUACCUAAGGAAUGCUAGCUAUUGAAUUUGGAACUCUGAAUUACCUGAAGUAUGGACAUCGUGUGUAAACAGUUAAAUCCUUAGUAACUGAAGUUGUAUUCUAAACCCUUUGUGGUAGGAACUGUCUGUCUCUAUGUGCUGAUACAGUACCUAUACACAAUGAAACAUUAAUCCUGGCUGGAGUCCAUGAAUGCAGCUACUGUAAUACAAAUAA